CCUACGGGAGGCUGCAGUGAGGAAUAUUGGUCAAUGGCCGCAGGGCUGAACCAGCCAAGUCGCGUGAGGGAUGACGGUCCUAUGGAUUGUAAACCUCUUUUGUCAGGGAGCAAAGGGCGCCACGUGUGGCGCUUUGCGAGUACCUGAAGAAAAAGCAUCGGCUAACUCCGUGCCAGCAGCCGCGGUAAUACGGAGGAUGCGAGCGUUAUCCGGAUUUAUUGGGUUUAAAGGGGGCGCAGGCGGAAUGUCAAGUCAGCGGUAAAAUUUCGGGGCUUAACCCCGUCGUGCCGUUGAAACUGGCGUUCUUGAGUGAGCGAGAAGUAUGCGGAAUGCGUGGUGUAGCGGUGAAAUGCAUAGAUAUCACGCAGAACUCCGAUUGCGAAGGCAGCAUACCGGCGCUCAACUGACGCUCAUGCACGAAAGCGUGGGUAUCGAACAGGAUUAGAUACCCCAGUAGUC
rnacentral:rRNA from 1 species